rnacentral:rRNA from 1 species
AUGGCUCAGGAUGAACGCUGGCGGCGUGCUUAACACAUGCAAGUCGAACGGAGUUUUAACGGAAGUUUCGGAUGGAAGUUUAAGAACUUAGUGGCGGACGGGUGAGUAACGCGUGGGUAACCUGCCUCAUACAGGGGGAUAACAGUUAGAAAUGACUGCUAACACCGCAUAAUAUAGUGAAACCGCAUGAUUUUGCUAUCAAAUAUUUAUAGGUAUGAGAUGGGCCCGCGUCUGAUUAGCUAGUUGGUGGGGUAAAAGCCUACCAAGGCGACGAUCAGUAGCCGGCUUGAGAGAGUGACCGGCCACAUUGGGACUGAGACACGGCCCAAACUCCUACGGGAGGCAGCAGUGGGGAAUAUUGGACAAUGGGGGAAACCCUGAUCCAGCGAACCGCCGCGUGAGUGAAGAAGUAUUUCGGUAUGUAAAGCUCUAUCAGCAGGGAAGAUAGUGACAGUACCUGACUAAGAAGCCCCGGCUAACUACGUGCCAGCAGCCGC